UCUAUUUUCUUAAUAAUUAUGCUUUAAUAAUGCAAAUGAAUAUCUUGUUUUUAACUCACUGUAGCAUGUAAAUUAGACUUGUAUCUUAUAUAUGUUUUAUACAUAUAUCUCUUUAUGUUUUUUCCAGGGAAGAGAAAGAUAAACCAGCUGCCCCUGAACAACCUGAGAAGAAAGCAACUGACUCAACUAAACCCGAUGCCCCAGCUGAUGAAAAUAAAGACACUGCAAAAACAGAAGAAAAACCAGCAUCAUAAUCUAUGUCAGUGUACACUCAAGUCGAUAGACGGUUGUGUUCAUUAAAUACUACGACAAACAAUAGAAUUUUAUGUUGUGAAGAGUAUUGUACAUCUAGCUGUAAUAUCAUAUAAUAAUGAAAUCUACAAUCAGUAGUUGAAAUGUGGCCAUUGGAAUAUAAAAUAUCUGCAAAAAUUGUGUUUGACUGAUAUAUGGAUCAGCAUUUAGCAAUAUAUAAUCGUGAACAAAAAGUGUAUUAUAAAACAGUAUGAUUUAAGAUUCAUUGUACAAUUUUUUUUACAAUAGACAAGAGCUUUAUCAAUUUAAGAAAGAAAGUCUUCGUUGAUGAAACAUCAAAAUGCAUUACAUGUUGUGUAAUUUGAUGUUUGCUGCAAAUAAAUUAAUCUAGAUUUUAAUGAAAUAGAAAAAGAAUGUUCUACUUUGAAAUUGGUGUAUUUUCUCAACACAUUUGUAAUAAAGAUAAAAAAUAUUAUAUUAGGAAACAUAAAGUAAAUGUUUUUUAAACAAUGUUAAAAGAUGAAAAAGCAACGUUGUUUUAUUUCUUAAUGAUUUGUUUCAUUUAUAUACAUGCAUGACAUACAUUUUCAUUGUCAGCCAUCAUUCCAUUAAACUUGUUUACAGCAGUAUCAAAUAAAACAAAGUCCUGAGAAAAAAAUAAAAUUUUGUAGAAA